GUGCUGUUGAGGAGUCCCAUAAUAGAACGAAACCGCCGUCCAGUAC
rfam:Schistosoma mattheei strain Denwood, Zambia genome assembly, scaffold: SMTD_scaffold0005275